GCGAGAGUGGCGGAAUUGGUAGACGCACUGGACUUAGGAUCCAGCUCUGGCGACAGAGUGGGAGUUCAAAUCUCCCCUCUCGCACCA
rnacentral:tRNA from 1 species